GGGGCAUUAGCUCAGUUGGUAGAGCAGUGGACUUUUAAUCCAUUUGUCGAAGGUUCGAAUCCUUCAUGCCCCACCA
rnacentral:tRNA from 1 species